GAUUCAGGUGCUGUUCUCAGUUACAGCCCGAGGGCCGUCCGGAUCCCCAGCCCCGACCCCGGACAGGGCGGCGAGCGAGCGGCAGCGGGUGUGGCCGGCAGGAAGGGCGGCCCGCGGUGGUGCGCCAGUGAGAGAGACAGAGAAAGGUCUUCCUUCCAUUGGUUCACUCCCCAAAUGGCCGCUACAACCAGCGCUGCACUGAUGACAUGGCUAUCAGCACUCUUGUAAGACUGAAGCUUGGUCACGUCUUCUCUCUGCUUAAACUGUCAGUAGUUCAUCUUGUUGGCCAAGUUCAUGACCAGGGUGUCUGUCACUGAUGGAAGAUGGAGUUGUGAAACCACUUUAAAGUACAAAAACAGCAUGGAAAUACAGAAAUCUUGGUUGCAAUUUACUGACAGAACUGAGCUUUGGGACAUUUCAGGCGUGGCAUGGAAUGCAGUUUUUCAACAAUGUGGUGUCUGUCACUGAUGGAAGAUGGAGUUGUGAAACCACUUUAAAGGACAAAACCAGCGUGGAAAUACAAGGCACUGGCAUGCUGUAACUAGCCAAGAGAGGCACCAUUUUGGAGAUACAUAACAACUGCUCGAGCUACUGACCGCGAACCCAGCAACCAACCUAGAGGAGAUGCCGGACUCUGGGAGAAUUGACAGGGGGCUGGGUGCUUGUGACUGUGGGAGCCUUGUGUGGUGGGACUGUGAAAACACUGGGCUGUGUGGGAGGGUGCAGGCAACCUCCAUGGAGGGAACAUAUUUAGAGUAGCUUGAUGCAGGAAUCAGCAGCAGUGCAUCAGCUGAACUUAUUUAGACAAAGUCUUAGACAUUGGAGCAGUAGGAUGCUACGUAGAUCUAAUGUUUCUGUAAGAUAAUACUUUUGUCUUUUGGCUGCGUCCAUUCUCCCAAGGGCAGUGACAGUUCCUAAUCUCAUUGUUUCAGCAAUGAGGAAAGAAAUCAGUAGUAGACAUAAUUUUGGAGAACUUCUGCCAUUUUACUCUGGCCUUCUUACACUUAACCUCUCCAAAUGUCCAGUCCCUUGUUAUCUUGGUUCCAGUUGCACAGAGAUUUUUCCAUACACCAUCCAAAAACACAGAGUGGGUUACAAUCACCAUUCUUUCAGCUCUGUAGGUCGUGGUGAUACAGGUAGGAAAAAGCCAGCUAGGUUAGGUUGAACUUGGAUGGAAAGUGAAGGCAGGUGGCUACAAGAUGGGGAGAAGGGUUUCUAAUGAACAUUGAGCCUGCAUGCUGUUAAAGCAGACUUUGCAUAAAGGCCGACUGAAAUUAAGUGCAGAGAGUAAGCCUUAUACAAGCAAAGGGUUGCAUUUAAGAGACAUGCAAUUGAGAAUCAAAAAAGCCUGGAACCUAAAAAAUAUUAAGGAGAUAAGAGUUUUGAGACUCUAAAUGAACAAAACAAAGACACCUGGGAUUGUAAAUGAGCAGAGCUAAGCGGUAAAGCCAGGGAUCGCAACCUAACAAGUCCAAGGCUAUAAAUGACAGGGACAGUGUUCAAAAUGGGCCCAAAAAUCAUAAAGUACUAACCCAAAGGAAUUUUGGGGAGGGAGAACACCUGGGCAGAUUCUAGCCAAAUGGGCAGAGUGAACUAAGCAAGAUGGGAUCUCAGCAAGAUGACCAUUAGUUUCUUGAUUCACCCUGUCCCCUGUCCCUUGUUUUCAUACUUCAGCUGCACGAGACAGUCAACCCGGGUGACUAAGGACAACUAGGACACGUGUGCCUGAUCAUUUCCACAGUUUUGCUCAAGUGCUGUGCUGGCAGGGUUGGCUCUGCUUCUCACAUGGGUCUGCCAAUCAGCCAGGGUGGCUCUGGUCCACGGGUAUUCACUCUGGGGCCCAGGCUGGCCGAGGCCAGUUAAAGAACCACCAGUUAAAGAACCUCCUACAGAUGUUACUCCCACCUUUUUGACAACAGGGGUGCUCAGUACUUUACGCCAGGCUGAUUUCGAGGCCCAUAAAAUUCUCAGGGAGUCUGGAUAUACUGGGAAAAUCAGCCAGAUGCCAGUGAUUUUGACACCACUGCAUUUUGAUCGGGACCCACUUCAGAAGCAGCCUUCAUGCCAGAGAUCUGUGGUUAUUCGAACCUUUAUUACUAGUGACUUUAUGACGGGUGUCCCUGCAACGCCUGGCAGUGAAAUCCCUGUGGAGGUGGUGUUAAAGAUGGUCACUGAGAUUAAGAAGAUUCCUGGUAUUUCUCGAAUUAUGUAUGACUUAACAUCAAAGCCCCCGGGAACUACUGAGUGGGAGUAAUAAACUUCUUGUUUAUUACUUGUUAUUCUUGUUUAUUAUAAACUUCUUCUCACAGUGAAGGCAGAAGCACAUGAGGGCCACAGAAACUCACACGGCCCCUCCAGCCUAGGCUCAGAACAACUAUGUCUUCGUUGCUUCUUCAUUACAUGGGCCAAAGCAAGCCACAGUCUUCCCACAAUGAGACUAUGGCAAGUGUGCGGAUCAGGGAGGGGC